rnacentral:rRNA from 1 species
GACGUAGGAGGCGAGCGUUGUCCGGAUUCAUUGGGCGUAAAGAGCGUGUAGGCGGCUGGGUAGGUCCGUUGUGAAAACUCGAGGCUCAACCUCGAGAUGUCGGCUGAAACCAUCUGGCUAGAGUCCGGAAGAGGAGAAUGGAAUUCCCGGUGUAGCGGUGAAAUGCGCAGAUAUCGGGAAGAACACCCGUGGCGAAGGCGGCUCUCUGGAACGGUACUGACGCUGAGACGCGAAAGCGUGGGGAGCGAACAGG